GGCAGCAGUGCGAGGCCGGACCCCUGGAUCCUGGGGAGGCAGGGUAUCCGGGCAGCAGCUGGAUGUGGAAGGCUCUGGCCAGACAGUCUCCUCUAGGACUCAUUCAGACAUCUUCACCUUCUGCAGAAAGCUCGCCUGAACCUGCAUCAGCUGUGCUUCCUGCAUGAUCCUGUACAGUCUGUGCACCAUGACUUAGGCUGUGCGCUUACCCAUCUGGAUGCUGGAAAAGCUCUAACUCCAGGAUUACUGAAAACAACUGUCAUGAUCUGGACAAGAAGAAGUAAACUCAUUAGCCCAGCAUGGUCCCAGGCUGGGGUCCCAGCUCCUUGGGAGGCUGAUGGAGGAUUGUUUGAGCCCAGGGGG